UCUUGAAACCAGCCAUUAGCAAGCUGCAAGUGGAAAAUUACCCCUCCUCCCCCCCCAAGUCCUGGCUUUUCAAAAAGGGAGAGGUUAAAAAAACAUUUUAAAUCCUUCAAUGCAAAUGUGCUUGGAGCAUUGUGUGUACCUGAGACAAGGAGCAGCACACAUCCCCUGCUGCGCAGUGAAAAAGAAGCUACAGGCGUGCUGUGUUAUCAAGAAUAUUGCAGAACCGGCUCCCCAGAAAAGAGUGGAAAACUUGUACGUCAGUCCACCAAAUGGGGAGGUUUUAGUCCAGUGGUUGCCAUGUACAGAUAUGUGUGACUGAAUUUGCCUGGUCCCUGACCUCCACUGAGAUGAGUGAAGAACUGGAGAUCCUUCCUGACACGCAGAGGCUCCCCAGUGCCUUCUGAUGAUUUGACAGGUACUGCCUGAGAUCAAAAUUUGCACAAGCCUUAGCUCGAAAAGGAAACUUCAAAAGAGCUGGAAUUGCAGUUUAAAUUGCCAACAAAUUGUGUUUGCAUUGGAAGAGGUAUGCAGUGAUUAAUUGCUUACUUAAAUGUAGCUCUGCAUCUGAAAAGGCUUUGGGGGAUAUAAGGAGGUCGGCACAUUAAAUCUGACAGUAACGUAAGCUCCUGUAUUGUUUUGAUCUAUCUUAACAGAGCUGGAAGGACACAAAAGUGCAAUAAUAAUAAAAUACAGACUGAAUGCA
rnacentral:lncRNA from 1 species